UUGUCGUCAGCUCGUGUCGUGAGGAUGUUGGGUUAAGUCCCGCAACGAGCGCAACCCUACGUUUAGUUGCUAACGCGUGAAGGCGAGCACUCUAGACGAACUGCCGUUGACAAAACGGAGGAAGGUGGGGAUGACGUCAAAUCAUCAUGCCCCUUAUGUUCUGGGCUACACACGUGCUACAAUGGCCGGUACAGACGGACGCAAAGCCGCGAGGUGGAGCAAAUCCUAAAAAGCCGGUCUCAGUUCGGAUUGCAGGCUGCAAUUCGCCUGCAUGAAGUCGGAAUCGCUAGUAAUCGCAGGUCAGCAUACUGCGGUGAAUACGUUCCCGGGCCUU
rnacentral:rRNA from 1 species